AAUUCUCAACUUCGUCAGUUUUGUUAUGAAACUGUGCGAAGCUUGGAUGUGGGGGUUUGUGCAGAGCGCGUAAAAGCAACCUGCUCCCCUUAAAUAAAUUAGCGAGUUCAAACUGGGCUCCGUCUAUUGGUGUGAUAAUUAUCUACGCCGUGGAUUGGGCUUAGACUUGCUUCUAAUCGUCCGCAAGGACAAUCUUUUGACA
rnacentral:misc_RNA from 1 species